UACGUAGGGGGCAAGCGUUGUCCGGAUUUAUUGGGCGUAAAGAGCGUGUAGGCGGCCAGACAGGUCCGUUGUGAAAACUCGAGGCUCAACCUCGAGAUGUCGAUGGAAACCGUCUGGCUAGAGUCCGGAAGAGGAAAGUGGAAUUCCUGGUGUAGCGGUGAAAUGCGCAGAUAUCAGGAAGAACACCAAUGGCGAAAGCAGCUUUCUGGGACGGUACUGACGCUGAGACGCGAAAGCGUGGGGAGCGAACAGG
rnacentral:rRNA from 1 species